rnacentral:rRNA from 1 species
CUCGUAGGCGGUUUGUCGCGUCUGCUGUGAAAAUCCAAGGCUCAACCUUGGACCUGCAGUGGGUACGGGCAGACUAGAGUGCGGUAGGGGAAAUGGGAAUUCCUGGUGUAGCGGUGGAAUGCGCAGAUAUCAGGAGGAACACCAAUGGCGAAGGCACAUCUCUGGGCCGUAACUGACGCUGAGGAGCGAAAGCGUGGGGAGCGAACA